ensembl:lncRNA
AUGGCAAUAGCUUGCAAAAUCUCUCCUGGAAAGGGACUCGGUAGCACCAGGAGAAUGCGAGCAGGGAGACAGGGAGGGAGGCACGGGGAGGGAUUUAAACCCCAUUCAAAGCAGAGCACCCCUUGCUGCCAGCAAGACUUUUCUUGGCUUCCUCGUGGGCUGUCUCCCACUGGCGGAGCGCCUGGGCGCAAGGUCAGGCCCCCUGAGCAGCUCAGCAAGACCCUUUUGCAGAUGAGCACUUUGGUACUGAGCUGGGAGCAGGGCAGGACUGGGGCCCUCGAGGCCAUAAGCCAUUUGGUCCCAGCUUUCCUCCUUGCCCAGGAGAGGUGGGAGAGCAGGGGCCAAAUAUCCUGAGUUUUGGGCCACAAGGAUUUCACACCAUCAUGCAGGAGGUCCUGGUGAGCUAAAAACCAGCCUUCCUGCUUAAAUACCCUUCCUAAAACAGCUCCAGAAGCUGCCGAGCAUACAAAGAAAAAUACGCUGGGGUUUCAGGGAGUUGAUUCUCCCCUUGCAGCAAUGAGCUCGGCACCAUCCAAAUAGCAUUUUGUUAGAAAGCAAAUAUUGCAACCAAGUGGUAUUUCUCUUUCUGCAAAAUUUGAGUUUCUACGCGAGUCCUGACUUGUACACUGAGUGAGUGGGCUGGUCCCAUCAGUUCAGGCGGCUCUGUUCACUCUUCUUUGGGUUUUCUUUGCUUUUUCUUCCACGUGGAACACUUUGGUACUUGCUAUUGAGAGACAGAGAGAAAAUAUUUAUUUUUGACACCACAGAAGCCAAAUGCUUUAACCUUUUAUGGGUAGCGACAGAAUUUUAGAGGCAAAAUAUAAAUCUGCAUUUUCCCACCAGAUCAAAAGCAAGCAGGUUUUAAAAGUAACAAAUGCAGGUAUUAGUUAUGUUUUUUUUUCUCCUCACUGUCAAGACUUAGGUCUUGAUUCUGCAGACACUGGCAUCUGCAAGUAAUUUCCGCAAGUUUUGGUGGUAUGCUUUUGCAGAGUUUGGUCCUUUCUGGGAAGUUAAUUACAUUGAUCUCAACUGAGCAUCUCAUUUGAGAAAUAGAUAUUUUUCAGCAAGGCAUUUAAGCAUGCACUUAACUCAGAGUGCGUUCUUAAAUAUUCUGCUGAGCAAGGUGGAAUGCUUUAACGGUGCCAUUCCCGCUAACUCUGCUUUCUGCAAUAAUUAAAAAUACUUUUCCAAUUAGUAGCUAAUGGCUUCCGUGGUUUUUCUGUAAUGUUUCAGAACCUUUUGCUUCUUUUCCUGUACAAGGACGUGCAUUGCCUGUGGUGGGUUACCAGAAGAGGUGCCUCAGCAAAGCAACAGUUAAAAGAAACUGCCUAGGUGGUUGAUCUGAAAACAAACUGUUUUUUUUUUUUUUGCCAGGUUGUGUGUCUUCUCUAAAUAUGUUUGAGUGACCUUUUUUUAGCAGAUGUCAUGAGGUACCAGUCUCAUUUCCCACGGUGCCUUCACAGUGUUCCCAUCAGUGUUGGAAAUCCUGCUGCCCUUGUCUUACUCCUUCUAUUGUCCGUCAUUCUCUGUUCCUCCCGUCUUUCCUCUUUUUUUAAAAGAUGCAGACAUAAUGCUGUGAACUGAAAUAAAUUAUUUAUACAAUGAAAGGGCCUGAUAAAA